UGCCAGACUCCUACGGGAGGCAGCAGUGGGGGAUAUUGCACAAUGGGGGAAACCCUGAUGCAGCGACGCCGCGUGGGCGAAGAAGUAUUUCGGUAUGUAAAGCCCUAUCAGCAGGGAAGAAGAAAUGACGGUACCUGAGUAAGAAGCACCGGCUAAAUACGUGCCAGCAGCCGCGGUAAUACGUAUGGUGCAAGCGUUAUCCGGAUUUACUGGGUGUAAAGGGGGCGCAGACGGCAGCGCAAGCCACGAGUGAAAGCCCGGGGCCCAACCCCGGGACUGCUCUUGGAACUGCGCGGCUGGAGUGCAGGAGGGGCAGGCGGAAUUCCUGGUGUAGCGGUGAAAUGCGUAGAUAUCAGGAGGAACACCGGUGGCGAAGGCGGCCUGCUGGACUGCGACUGACGUUGAGGCCCGAAAGCGUGGGGAGCAAACAGGAUUAGAUACCCGAGUAC
rnacentral:rRNA from 1 species